UACAGAGGUCUCAAGCGUUGUUCGGAUUCAUUGGGCGUAAAGGGUGUGUAGGUGGCGCGCUAAGUCGGGUGUGAAAUUUCGGAGCUUAACUCCGAAACUGCAUUCGAAACUGCAGGGCUAGAGUCCUGGAGAGGAAGGUGGAAUGCUUGGUGUAGAGGUGAAAUUCGUAGAUAUCAAGCGGAACACCGGUGGCGAAGGCGGCCUUCUGGACAGUGACUGACGCUGAGACGCGAAAGCGUGGGGAGCAAACAGG
rnacentral:rRNA from 1 species